AGAACCUUACCGGCUCGGGGGGAACGCGAAGAACCUUACCAGGUCUUGACAUCCUCUGACAAUCCUAGAGAUAGGACGUCCCCUUCGGGGGCAGAGUGACAGGUGGUGCAUGGUUGUCGUCAGCUCGUGUCGUGAGAUGUUGGGUUAAGUCCCGCAACGAGCGCAACCCUUGAUCUUAGUUGCCAGCAUUCAGUUGGGCACUCUAAGGUGACUGCCGGUGACAAACCGGAGGAAGGUGGGGAUGACGUCAAAUCAUCAUGCCCCUUAUGACCUGGGCUACACACGUGCUACAAUGGGCAGAACAAAGGGCAGCGAAACCGCGAGGUUAAGCCAAUCCCACAAAUCUGUUCUCAGUUCGGAUCGCAGUCUGCAACUCGACUGCGUGAAGCUGGAAUCGCUAGUAAUCGCUGAUCAGCUGCCGGUCCCC
rnacentral:rRNA from 1 species